GUGAGGAAUAUUGGUCAAUGGGCGGAAGCCUGAACCAGCCAAGUCGCGUGAGGGAUUAAGGCCCUAUGGGUCGUAAACCUCUUUUGUCAGGGAGCAAUGGCGUCCACGUGUGGGCGUAUGGAGAGUACCUGAAGAAAAAGCAUCGGCUAACUCCGUGCCAGCAGCCGCGGUAAUACGGAGGAUGCGAGCGUUAUCCGGAUUUAUUGGGUUUAAAGGGUGCGUAGGCGGGACCUUAAGUCAGCGGUAAAAUUGCGGUGCUCAACGCCGUAGAGCCGUUGAAACUGGGGUUCUUGAGUGAGCGAGAAGUAUGCGGAAUGCGUGGUGUAGCGGUGAAAUGCAUAGAUAUCACGCAGAACCCCGAUUGCGAAGGCAGCAUACCGGCGCUCAACUGACGCUGAGGCACGAAAGUGCGGGUAUCGAACAGG
rnacentral:rRNA from 1 species